rnacentral:hammerhead_ribozyme from 1 species
AUGCAGCUGACGAGUCCCAAAUAGGACGAAACUAGCCUCCUAGAU